rnacentral:rRNA from 1 species
UCCUACGGGAGGCAGCAGUGGGGAAUAUUGCACAAUGGGCGCAAGCCUGAUGCAGCGACGCCGCGUGAGGGAUGAAUGCCUUCGGGUUGUAAACCUCUUUCAGCAGGGAAGAAGCGAAAGUGACGGUACCUGCAGAAGAAGCGCCGGCUAACUACGUGCCAGCAGCCGCGGUAAUACGUAGGGCGCAAGCGUUGUCCGGAAUUAUUGGGCGUAAAGAGCUCGUAGGCGGUUUGUCGCGUCUGCUGUGAAAGCCCGGGGCUCAACCCCGGGUCUGCAGUGGGUACGGGCAGACUAGAGUGCAGUAGGGGAGACUGGAAUUCCUGGUGUAGCGGUGAAAUGCGCAGAUAUCAGGAGGAACACCGAUGGCGAAGGCAGGUCUCUGGGCUGUAACUGACGCUGAGGAGCGAAAGCAUGGGGAGCGAACAGGAUUAGAUACCCUGGUAGUCCAUGCCGUAAACGUUGGGCACUAGGUGUGGGGGACAUUCCACGUUUUCCGCGCCGUAGCUAACGCAUUAAGUGCCCCGCCUGGGGAGUACGGCCGCAAGGCUAAAACUCAAAAAA